rnacentral:lncRNA from 1 species
CGAAAACAACAUGUUUUCAAUCACAUUCACAUUACUGAGAUGGUAGUGAAUGAAAUUACAGAUUCUUCUCAAAUACUAAAGAACAUACUCUAGUUGUACACUUGUACUAACUUCCCAUACCAACAUCCUUAGCAUAUAUUACAAUCACCCAAAUGAACACCAACUACACAUAACCUAUUGCACUACACAACAGAACACAUACUACAAAAAAAAAAAAAAUAAAUAAAUAAAAAAAAUAAUAAAACAGUAGGGAGCGAAAUGGGAUAUAUAGACUCUGAAUAUGUAUCUCUGUAGCAAUCAGUUGUGAAGUAUCGGGCACAGUAAUCAUAUGGAUUGAGGUCCAAGCUACCAAUGACUGCAAUGGCAUGCAGCAAGGCAAUCCAAAUUGCUGUCGACCGCAGUAUUAUUAUUCUCCCCUCUCGACCCAUUUCCAAAUUACUGUCGUCCUCUCAUCCUUUCAAACAUGGGAGAAGACCUUAUCAUCGUUGCCCACCUUAUCAUUGUUGGGAAUCUACUUAUACAUGCACAGCGGAAUUUAAAAUAUAUUUCGAUUCCCAUCCAAUAGAUCUCAUUGUGUUUGGUUAGGAAUUGUGAUAGGAUUGUACCUUUUCCAGAUCUGCAAUCCUUUUGCUUUUCUUUUGUUCCACAACUUUGAUUCGCCACCACAGCUGUCCAAUUGUCCAGCCUCCAACGGUGAUCCACACAGAGAAUUUGAUUGCAGCCUCUAGGGUUUUCUCUUGUACUAGCAAGAAUAAUGAAAACCUUAAUGGACCUCAAACCCUAGUUAUAUAUUUAUAUAAACCCAAAUAGGCUCGGCCCGGUCCGGUCCAAUAAUUAAUUAAUCCAAUUAAUUAAACCCGGUCCGUGAAUUAAUUAAUCCAAUUAAUU